UGAUCAACUCGGAUGACUCNCGAAUGCUCUAGAUUAAACGUUGAUCCUGGCUCAGACUGAACCGCUAGGCGUGAUAGGCCUAACACAUGCAAGUCGAACGGCAGCACAGAGGAGCUUGCUCCUUGGGUGGCGAGUGGCUGGACGGGUGAGGAAUACAUCGGAAUCUACUUUUUCGUGGGUGGAUAACGUAGAGAAACUUACGCUAAUACCGCAUACGACCUACGUGGUGAAAGCAGGGGAUCUUCGGACCUUGCGCGAUUGAAUGAGCCGAUGUCGGACUAGCUAGUUGGCGGGGUAAAGUGCCCACCAAGGCGACGAUCCAUAGCUGGUCUGAGAGGAUGAUCAGCCACACUGGAACUGAGACACGGUCCAGACUCCUACGUGGAGUGCAGCAGUGGGGAAUAUUGGACAAUGGGCGCAAGCCUGAUCCAGCCAUACCUGCGUGGGUGAAGAAGGCCUUCGGGUUGUAAAGCCCUUUUGUUAGGGAAAGAAAUCCAGCUGGCUAAUACCCGGUUGGGAUGACGGUACCCAAAGAAUAAGCACCUGGCUAACUUCGUGCCAGCAGCCUGCGGUAAUACGAAGGGUGCAAGCGUUACUCGGAAUUACUGGGCGUAAAGCGUGCGUAGUAGGUCGUUUAAGUCGUUGUGAAAGNCCUGUGGUNCAACCUNUGGGACACUGCACGUGUGNNACUGGACAACUAACGUUGGNUGGUAAAANAAAANUUNACCCCGGNAAAUUCCCCUUGNGUGUUUAAACCAGUAGAAAAUGNCGUUAAGACCACCGGGGAGGGAACCAUNCACUUUGGCAAAAAGGGAGUCUACCCUUGGACCCCACCUUUGGAAUCUGNAGGGCCCAAAAAGUUGGUGAACGCCUACGGGAUUACAUAUACCAGUUAGAUAACCCCCCUAAAGCANAGNAACAAGUAAUAGUGGCAGAUUAGUAGAGCAAACAGAUAAAUUAAUCCACCCUGGUAGAGUCGAACUANACAANGANAUCGGCGCAGAGNUGUUUUACACACGCUAUUAAUAANUAUAACUAG
rnacentral:rRNA from 1 species